GAUGAACGCUGGCGGCGUGCCUAAUACAUGCAAGUCGAGCGAACAGACGAGGAGCUUGCUCCUCUGACGUUAGCGGCGGACGGGUGAGUAACACGUGGAUAACCUACCUAUAAGACUGGGAUAACUUCGGGAAACCGGAGCUAAUACCGGAUAAUAUAUUGAACCGCAUGGUUCAAUAGUGAAAGACGGUUUUGCUGUCACUUAUAGCUGGAUCCGCGCCGCAUUAGCUAGUUGGUAAGGUAACGGCUUACCAAGGCAACGAUGCGUAGCCGACCUGAGAGGGUGAUCAGCCACACUGGAACUGAGACACGGUCCAGACUCCUACGGGAGGCAGCAGUAGGGAAUCUUCCGCAAUGGGCGAAAGCCUGACGGAGCAACGCCGCGUGAGUGAUGAAGGUCUUCGGAUCGUAAAACUCUGUUAUUAGGGAAGAAAAAAUGUGUAAGUAACUAUGCACGUCUUGACGGUACCUAAUCAGAAAGCCACGGCUAACUACGUG
rnacentral:rRNA from 1 species